GCGGAAUCAUAAUCCGUAGGUCGGGGGUUCAAGUCCCUCCCCCGCUA
rnacentral:tRNA from 1 species